GUAGCUUGCUACUUGCUGACGACCGGCGCACGGGUGCGUAACGCGUAUAGAAUCUACCUUGUACUAGGGGAUAGCCUUUGGAAACGAAGAUUAAUACCCUAUAGUAAGUAUUUAUGGCAUCAUUUAUACUUUAAAGGUUACGGUACAAGAUGACUAUGCGUCCUAUUAGUUUGUUGGUGAGGCAACGGCUCACCAAGACUUCGAUAGGUAGGGGCCCUGAGAGGGGGAUCCCCCACACUGGUACUGAGACACGGACCAGACUCCUACGGGAGGCAGCAGUGAGGAAUAUUGGACAAUGGAGGCAACUCUGAUCCAGCCAUGCCGCGUGCAGGAUGACGGCCCUAUGGGUUGUAAACUGCUUUUAUGUAGGAAGAAACACUCUCACGUGUGAGAGCUUGACGGUACUACAAGAAUAAGGACCGGCUAACUCCGUGCCAGCAGCCGCGGUAAUACGGAGGGUCCAAGCGUUAUCCGGAAUCAUUGGGUUUAAAGGGUCCGUAGGCGGGCUAUUAAGUCA
rnacentral:rRNA from 1 species